rnacentral:rRNA from 1 species
CAUGGAGGUAGAGCACUGGAUGGGUUAGGGGGCCUACAAGCUUACCAACCCCAGCCAAACUCCGAAUGCCAUGACUCCAGAGUGCGGCAGUGAGUCCUCGGGGGAUGAGCUUCGAUGGACGAAAGGGAAACAGCCCAGACCGCCGACUAAGGCCCCAAAGUUCUGACUAAGUGGUAAACGAAGUGGGAUUGCACAGACAGCCAGGAUGUUGGCUUAGAAGCAGCCACCAUUGAAAGAGUGCGUAACAGCUCACUGGUCAAGUGGUCCCGCGCGGAAAAUGUAACGGGGCUCAAGUCAGACGCCGAAGUCGCGGACUUCUGCUUGCAGGAGUGGUAGCGGAGCGUCGAGUUCGGAGCGAAGCGGCGGUGUAAACCGACGUGGACCGGGCUCGAGUGAGAAUGUUGGUAUGAGUAGCGAGAGAGGGGUGAGAAACCCCUCCGCCGGAAGUCCAAGGGUUCCUGGGGAAGGCUAAUCCUCCCAGGGUGAGUCGGGAGCUAAGGCGAGGCCGAGAGGCGUAGUCGAUGCACAACCGGUUGAUAUUCCGGUACCACGGGUUGCGCGACAAACGCCGACCCGCAGUUGCUCAGGGGAUGGUCGACCCUUCGGGGUUGACAGGAACUUGAACCAAGUGCGGUUAGGUGAGUGAUGCGGGGACGCAGGUAGGUAGGUGAUCCCAGGCGAUGGUUGUCCUGG